GACGUAGGGGGCCAGCGUUGUUCGGAAUUACUGGGUGUAAAGGGUUCGUAGGCGGUGUGGCAAGUCGGGAGUGAAGUCUCUGGGCUCAACCCAGAGUCUGCUUCCGAAACUGCUGUGCUUGAGUGUGGGAGAGGCGCGUGGAAUUGCAGGUGUAGCGGUGAAAUGCUUAGAUAUCAGGUGGAACACCAGUGGCGAAGGCGGUGUUCUGGGCCAGUACUGACGCUGAGGCGCGAAAGCGUGGGGAGCGAACAGG
rnacentral:rRNA from 1 species